ACUCCUACGGGAGGCAGCAGUGGGGAAUUUUGCGCAAUGGGGGAAACCCUGACGCAGCAACGCCGCGUGAGUGAUGAAGGCCCUUGGGUCGUAAAGCUCUGACAGAGGGAAAGAAAUGCAGGGGAGCUAAUAUCUCCCUUGCUUGACGGUACCCUCAAAGGAAGCACCGGCUAACUCCGUGCCAGCAGCCGCGGUAAUACGGGGGGUGCAAGCGUUGUUCGGAUUUAUUGGGCGUAAAGCGCGUGUAGGCGGUUUUAUAAGUCUGAUGUGAAAGCCCUGGGCUCAACCCGGGAAGUGCAUUGGAUACUGUAAGACUUGAAUACGGGAGAGGGCAGUGGAAUUCCUAGUGUAGGAGUGAAACCCGUAGAUAUUAGGAGGAACACCGGUGGCGAAGGCGGCUGCCUGGACCGAUAUUGACGCUGAGACGCGAAAGCGUGGGUAGCAAACAGGAUUAGAUACCCUGGUAGUCCACGCCGUAAACGAUGAGAACUAGGUGUUGCGGGUA
rnacentral:rRNA from 1 species